rnacentral:lncRNA from 1 species
UUGAAUGUGGUGUCCUGCAUCCUCACAUGGACAUACCAAUUCUGGAAGCUAUUUUCUCAGCCAGAAACUAGGAUUUGCUGAAGUUAAAAAUGCCAAAGGCUAAACAGGUGAUCAUUGCUUCUAUUCACAUGGUCUUCCUCUAUGGUAUUCAAAUGUCUGCUGCCUCAGAAUAUUUUCAAACGAGUAGUAAUGGCCCCCUUUAAUGUUUUCCUAUGGUGUUGCGGGUUUAUUAGCCCUGCGUUCAGGCUGGUCUUUGAUAGCCGAGUGGUGCCAAACUGGUAAAGGGAUUAUGGACAAAGAAAAACACCAUAGAAGCAAACAUUUACAUCCUUAUCAAUCAGCUGCAGUAAACUGAACCCCACUUUUUCAGGUACUUUCGGUGAUAUUUGGUCAAGUAACAAUGAAUUCUAAAUGUUUAUAGACUUAUUGUAUGAACAAGUUUUGCUUUCUUCCAUUCAAAGAAACCUCAAGUUUACUCAUUGGCAUCAUUUUCCGUCUUCACAAACCC